rnacentral:tRNA from 1 species
GCGGACGUGGCGUAAUUGGUAGCCGCGCUAGACUUAGGAUCUAGUGCCGAGAGGCGUGGGGGUUCGAGUCCCUUCGUCCGCACAA